UCGUUUUUCUUCAUUCGCGUUAUGUAAACAUGCAAUAAAGUACGAGACAAUUUGAAAAAUAGUUCGAAUCGGCACUGUGGUGGCACAAAGUACGAUGACGAGAUGCAGCAUCCUCAGUGGGAAAUUUUUUCUUGUCUUCACGUUUCUUUUGUGCGUGAGUGAGAAAAAAUGUCCGCUAUAUGCCGUCGCCGUGCCAAUUCCAGGACCAAGCCCGGGAGCGGGAGCUUCGACAGCGCGAACAGCUGCCCGAGUCGGACCGAGUGUCAGUCGUGCGAGAAGGGCUCUUUCAAAUAGCAUCGGACCCAGCCAUGUCAGCCUCGAAGACAUGAAAGACUUGAUGAGUGCAAUGAAAAGACAGCCACGCAAUUCGGGGUUGCAGCCCCAGCCGCCCCGUCAAACUGUGAAUCGGAGGGUAUGAUGCUGGCAAAUCUAACGCAAACAUGGUUUCCAUACGAUUGAUGCGGCAUGUUGGUGCUGCACAACAGCACGUCAACAUCUCCUGAGGAAGAUGAGAGUGUGCAGAGAAAAGUGGCGGCAUUUAUUCUCCUCUGCAAGAAGUGUGGUGCAGUGCCUACGGCUUCUGUUCAUUAGCUAUUUACCACGAGUCUUGCAGUACUGCCUUAUUGAGAACCACCAGUACAACAGACACGUCCCACCUCCGUUGCCCACAAGAUACAAAAAACUUCUUAAUCGUAUUUGUUGUAGGUUACGGUAUAUGUGCCUAGAAGUGAUGGGCUUCAAGUAUCAUAUUAUUCCUCCAUUUAAUGCAUUAUUGCUGACCUCUAUAUGUUUGUGACUGCUUUUAAAAUAAAAGUUUUCUGUGGAUG
rnacentral:lncRNA from 1 species